UACGUAGGGACCAAGCGUUGUUCGGAUUUACUGGGCGUAAAGGGCGCGUAGGCGGCGCGGUAAGUCACUUGUGAAAUCUCUGAGCUUAACUCAGAACGGCCAAGUGAUACUGCAGUGCUAGAGUGUGGAAGGGGCAAUCGGAAUUCUUGGUGUAGCGGUGAAAUGCGUAGAGAUCGGGAGGAACAUCAGUUGCGAAGGCGGCUCUCUGGACCAGCACUGACACUGAGGCACGAAAGCGUGGGGAGCAAACAGG
rnacentral:rRNA from 1 species